AGCAUUAUAUCCACAAGCAAGUGGGAAGCAACUUACAGCAGACUCCAUGGAUUUUGCAUAUGCAUUGAAAGACAUAACACAAAAAGAACUAAUAGAUGCGAAAAGUUAGAGUUGGGAGAUACUGCUUCGGUUUAUGAAAGAGCAAAUUAAUAAAACGAGAAUGACUGAAAGCUAUCUGUCUCAUCUGAUUUGCGCUCGACGCUGUCCAACUUUGUGAUAAACAUUGAAUCUAGUCUAUUGUAUGGAUUUGUCUUGCGAAGUCUUUCAAAGUAUG
rnacentral:misc_RNA from 1 species